rnacentral:pre_miRNA from 1 species
UCUAAUAGAUGUGCCAAAAAAGUGGUUUCUUGAGAUGGAAUCUACUCGUUGGGAAGAUGCUGUGAA